GUGACGAAGCGACGCCGCGUGCGGGAAGAAGGCCUUCGGGUUGUAAACCGCUGUCGGGAGUUAGGAAAUGCAAGGAUGUUAAUAGCAUUCUUGCUUGACUAAGGCUCCGGAGGAAGCCACGGCUAACUCUGUGCCAGCAGCCGCGGUAAUACAGAGGCGGCAAGCGUUGUUCGGAAUUAUUGGGCGUAAAGAGCACGUAGGCGGCUGUGUAAGUCGGUUGUGAAAGCCUUCCGCUUAACGGAAGAACGGCAUCCGAUACUGCAUAGCUUGAGUGCGGGAGGGGAGAGUGGAACUUCUGGUGGAGCGGUGAAAUGCGUAGAUAUCAGAAGGAACACCGGCGGCGAAGGCGACUCUCUGGUCCGUAACUGACGCUGAGUGUGCGAAAGCUAGGGGAGCAAACGGGAUUAGAUACCCCGGUAGUCCUAGCCGUAAACGAU
rnacentral:rRNA from 1 species